rnacentral:rRNA from 1 species
AGUGAACGCUGGCGGCAGGCCUAAUACAUGCAAGUCGAACGGCAGCACAGUGGAGCUUGCUCCAUGGGUGGCGAGUGGCGGACGGGUGAGGAAUACAUGGGAAUCUGCCCAGUCGUGGGGGAUAACGUAGGGAAACUUACGCUAAUACCGCAUGCGCCCUUCGGGGAAAGCCGGGGACCGUAAGGCCUGGCGCGAUUGGAUGAGCCCAUGUCGGAUUAGCUAGUUGGCGGGGUAACGGGCCCACCAAGGCGACGAUCCGUAGCUGGUCUGAGAGGAUGAUCAGCCACACUGGAACUGAGACACGGUCCAGACUCCUACGGGAGGCAGCAGUAGGGAAUAUUGGACAAUGGGCGCAAGCCUGAUCCAGCCAUGCCGCGUGAGUGAAGAAGGCCCUCGGGUUGUAAAGCUCUUUUGUCCGGAAAGAAAAGCAAUCGGUUAAUACCCGGUUGUUCUGACGGUACCGGAAGAAUAAGCACCGGCUAACUUCGUG